rnacentral:rRNA from 1 species
AUUGAACGCUGGCGGCAGGCCUAACACAUGCAAGUCGAACGAGUGGCGGACGGGUGAGUAAUGUCGGGGCAACUGGCUGAUGUAGGGGGAUAACUACUGGAAACGGUAGCUAAAACCGCAUACCAGGGGAGGGGACCAGAUGGGAUUAGAGAGUAGGGGGGGUAACGGCUCACCUAGGCGACGAUCCCUAGCUGGUCUGAGAGGAUGAGCAGCCACACUGGGACUGAGACACGGUCCAGACUCCUACGGGAGGCAGCAGUGGGGAAUAUUGCACAAUGGGCGCAAGCCUGAUGCAGCCAUGCCGCGUGUAUGAAGAAGGCCUUCGGGUUGUAAAGCACUUUCAGCGGGGAGGCGUUACCCGCAGAAGAAGCACCGGCUAACUCCGUGCCAGCCGCCGCGGUAAUAC